GUAGGUGGCAAGCGUUGUCCGGAAUUAUGGGCGUAAAGCGCGCGCAGGCGGUUCUUUAAGUCUGAUGUGAAAGCCCACGGCUCAACCGUGGAGGGUCAUUGGAAACUGGAGAACUUGAGUACAGAAGAGGAAAGCGGAAUUCCACGUGUAGCGGUGAAAUGCGUAGAGAUGUGGAGGAACACCAGUGGCGAAGGCGGCUUUCUGGUCUGUAACUGACGCUGAGGCGCGAAAGCGUGGGGAGCAAACAGGAUUAGAUACCCUGGUAGUCCACGCCGUAAACGAUGAGUGCUAAGUGUUAGGGGGGUUUCCGCCCCCCUUAGUGCUGCAGCUAACGCAUUAAGCACUCCGCCUGGGAGUACGGCCGCAAGGCUG
rnacentral:rRNA from 1 species